rnacentral:tRNA from 1 species
AAUUAGGAUGGCCUAUAGCGGUGACGGGUUUUGGGGCCCGUUUUUGAGAGAUUCUUUGCCUAAUUU